rnacentral:rRNA from 1 species
AGUGAACGCUGGCGGUACGCCUAACACAUGCAAGUCGAACGGCAGCACAGUAAGAGCUUGCUCUUACGGGUGGCGAGUGGCGGACGGGUGAGGAAUACAUCGGAAUCUACUUUUUCGUGGGGGAUAACGUAGGGAAACUUACGCUAAUACCGCAUACGACCUACGGGUGAAAGCAGGGGAUCUUCGGACCUUGCGCGAUUGAAUGAGCCGAUGUCGGAUUAGCUAGUUGGCGGGGUAAGGGCCCACCAAGGCGACGAUCCGUAGCUGGUCUGAGAGGAUGAUCAGCCACACUAGAACUGAGGCACGGUCCAGACUCCUACGGGAGGCAGCAGUGGGGAAUAUUGGACAAUGGGCGCAAGCCUGAUCCAGCCAUACCGCGUGGGUGAAGAAGGCCUUCGGGUUGUAAAGCCCUUUUGUUGGGAAAGAAAAGCAGCAGGUUAAUACCCCGCUGUUCUGACGGUACCCAAAGAAUAAGCACCGGCUAACUUCGUG